UAACAAGGUUUCCGUAGGUGAACCUGCGGAAGGAUCAUUACCUAGAGUUUGUGGGCUUUGCCCACUGUCUCUUACCCAUGUCUUUUGAGUACUUACGUUUCCUCGGUGGGCUCGCCCGCCGGUUGGACAAUUUAAACCAUUUGCAGUUGCAAUCAGCGUCUGAAAAACAUAAUAGUUACAACUUUCAACAACGGAUCUCUUGGUUCUGGCAUCGAUGAAGAACGCAGCGAAAUGCGAUAAGUAGUGUGAAUUGCAGAAUUCAGUGAAUCAUCGAAUCUUUGAACGCACAUUGCGCCCCUUGGUAUUCCAUGGGGCAUGCCUGUUCGAGCGUCAUUUGUACCUUCAAGCUCUGCUUGGUGUUGGGUGUUUGUCUCGCCUUGCGCGUAGACUCGCCUUAAAACAAUUGGCAGCCGGCGUAUUGAUUUCGGAGCGCAGUACAUCUCGCGCUUUGCACUCAUAACGACGACGUCCAAAAGUACUUUUUACACUCUUGACCUCGGAUCAGGUAGGGAUACCCGCUGAACUUAAGCAUAUGGAGCAAAAGAAACCAACAGGGAUUGCCCUAGUAACGGCGAGUGAAGCGGCAACAGCUCAAAUUUGAAAUCUGGCGUCUUUGGCGUCCGAGUUGUAAUUUGCAGAGGGCGCUUUGGCAUUGGCAGCGGUCCAAGUUCCUUGGAACAGGACGUCACAGAGGGUGAGAAUCCCGUACGUGGUCGCUAGCCUUUACCGUGUAAAGCCCCUUCGACGAGUCGAGUUGUUUGGGAAUGCAGCUCUAAAUGGGAGGUAAAUUUCUUCUAAAGCUAAAUACUGGCCAGAGACCGAUAGCGCACAAGUAGAGUGAUCGAAAGAUGAAAAGCACUUUGGAAAGAGAGUUAAAAAGCACGUGAAAUUGUUGAAAGGGAAGCGCUUGCAGCCAGACUUGCCUGUAGUUGCUCAUCCGGGUUUUUACCCGGUGCACUCUUCUAUAGGCAGGCCAGCAUCAGUUUGGGCGGUUGGAUAAAGGUCUCUGUCAUGUACCUCUCUUCGGGGAGAACUUAUAGGGGAGACGACAUGCAACCAGCCUGGACUGAGGUCCGCGCAUCUGCUAGGAUGCUGGCGUAAUGGCUGUAAGCGGCCCGUCU
rnacentral:rRNA from 1 species